UGGCUGGAGGAGUGACCCAAG
rnacentral:misc_RNA from 1 species